rnacentral:lncRNA from 1 species
CUUUUCAUUCUCACUCUCUCUUUGCUUUUUCCAAUAACCUUCACAUGAGGUGCUUCCAACAUGGGAAAACUGAGCUGCCCUAAACUAGAGUGUAUCUCCAGAAAACAGCAAAAGAAGCAUUUCCACAAUGAUGAGGCCACAGAGAAACACGGGCUUGUGGUUGUAAGAGGACUUGCACGAAUAUUGUGGUACCUUUCUCAGUGUAUAAAAAACACCCUGCUCGAAGCAGACCCAGAGUUUUUGAGAAGCUGAUGGAAGUAAUGGAGUGUGACGUACACAGCUGGGACAAGGAAUCUCUUGGAAGAAACAAGCACGGUAUCUUUAAGAUGUUGCCAAAACCUGCAGAAGGCAGACACAGGUGAUUUCCUCUGAACUGAAGCUACAAGCAAGUGAAAUAGAUGGAGAGCUGUUGAAGUCCCAAAGAUAAGAGUCUUCGGAACUGGUAUACAAAAUGACUGAGCAGCAAUAUUGAUAAUCCCCAAAGUAAUAUUGAGAAGUCCCAGGAUCAAGAGCUUGGAUUAACUAUAUGGAGUAUAUGAAUAUGCAUUCAGCUUACUUCAUUAAGAUGUCUACAUUAGAUCUUAAAACUGAAAACAUUUCACAUGGAAUGACUUCAAUGGGAAGAGAGCUAAAACCUACCAGUUAAAUCCACUCUUUACAAUAUAAACAGGUAGAGCUCCAAGGAAAUCAAACACUGCUUUGGAAAGAAAUGUAGCAGUCGCUCAGCACAUCCCAGCUUCGGGGCAGCGACUCACUCAGCACCACAGAGGUCCCACUACCUCUUCCAAAAGCAAGAAGUGGUAAAAGUCUGGGGUGGCAAAUGAUCUUUUCCCAUCGCACAACUCAAGGCAGGUAUCAGAAUUUGACCACUUUUAGUAUUGACACCUAAGCCUGUGUUGGACUUGCAUCAAGCAGACAUCUGUUGAUACUGUCACCAUGGCCAGAAACAUUUGCUGCUCUGCAUUGCGAAGUUUUAGGGGAAAAAGUUUUACUGAGGUUCUGUAGGGAAUUCCUCAGCCUCUUGAGGGAAUGGAGCCAGAGCUACAGAUCUGAACAUGUGAUGCCCCUAGAACAUACAGAGAUAAGAAACAGUGAAUGUCUGUACUUUGGGUUGAUGUAACAGAUUAAAAAAACAAAACAACAAAGCAAACCACAACUAAGGAGAGAUGUUACUAGAGAUGCUGUUCGAAUAGAAAAUUGAGGCAUUCACAGAUCUGCCAGCAUCAAUAAAAACUUUGCUCCAGCUGCUGAGUGCA